rnacentral:lncRNA from 1 species
AGAAUCACCCUCCAACCACCCUCCAUAACUCUAACCACAAAUCCUCAAAAGCUUCAUCCCAACACGCCACUCAACCUGCAGUAACAGAAGCAACAAGAGAGAAGAAGUAAACAACAACCCAGUCCACAAACAGAAGCAAGAAGAAAAGAAGAAAGAAAAAGAAAACAAAAUCGCGAAGAGAAGAAAGUAGAUUGAAAGAAGAUCUUACACGAAGCCACCGUGUCGGAGUGCAAAUCUGGUGGACCGUUUCUUCCUUCUUCAAUCUCUUUAAAGUAAAUUGAACUCAUAUAUAUAUAUAUAUAUAAUAUAUAUAUAUAUUAUAUAUAUAAAUUAUAUAUAUAUAUAUAUAUAUAGAAUAUAUAUAUAUAUAUAUAUAUUCUUUUCCACGCAUUUAUAGGAGUUUAAAUUUAUUCUAUUCAUCUAUUUUUAUUUACAGACUAUUUACAAGAUAACUAUUUAAGAGAGAGAAUGAAUUAUAUGAUAGGGUUAGAGAAGACUUUUGAAAAUGAAUUUUUUAAAAGAUAUAAAAAAAUAUUUGACAUUUUUUGAAAAAUAAUUUUGUAUAAAGAAUAAUAGUGUUUAUUAUUAUUAUAUUUUUAAUUUUUUUGAAUAUUAUAACAACAUAAAAUAUAUUUUAAAAAUUUAUAUAAGUGUUCUAAAACUCUAUAAAAAUUCUUCUUUAUUAAAAGUUUUGAAUUACUCCAAAUUAAAAAUAAAUUUUGUUAAGAAUAAAAAUAAAUCCUUCAAAAUCAUUCUUAUUAAAUCGUUUUAGUUUUUUCAUUCAAUUUUUUCAAUGCCUUCGCUUCCCUUCUAUAUCCUACCUAAGUACUUUAGUAAUCUAUUAUUUGUGUUAGACUACAAGAUUAGAGAACCUUGUAUUUUAUUUAGCUCUCCAAUUUUAUUUUCCACUCAUAUGUUGAUUGUUUUCCUUCCAUGCAUCACUUCUGAAAAAAAAAAGUUCAAAACUGUCCAAUUUUUUUUUAAAAAUCCAAGAUGUUCUCAUUUGAAAAAGGGGUUCCAUCAUUAAAUGUUGAGGAUAUUCUAAUUUUUUUCUUGCGUGGGUCUCGACCAAUAAAAAAAAGUAUUAAUAAUAUAAAACAAAAAAUAUUAAAAUAUAUUAAUUUCUCCGUUAUUAAAUGAUCGAGCUACUUCUUUUUGAAUGUCGCUUUAUACCCUUGACAAAUAAAUAGGCAAAAGUGUUUAAAAAUGAGAUGAGUUAGAUAAAUUCUUUUUAAUUUGAGAUAUUUUAGGAUUUGAGUUUUAGAAAAGUAUCAUUAGGUAAAAAAAACUCUAUGUUAUACUAUCUCCGUUUUUUAUUAUAUGUUAUUUUGGAAAAAUAUUUUGUACCAUAAUAUAAAUCGUUUUAUAAUAUCAAUAAAUCAUUAAUGUGAUUUUUCCUAUUAUACCCUUAAAUGUUUAUUAUUCUCUCUCCUUUCAAUUAUGUUAAUUUGUCUUUCCAAUACCAUUAAUGAAGGAUAAUUUUGUAAAAUCCUUCAUAAUUUAUCUUUUUCAUACCAUAAUUAUUAUAUUUCUUAAUACGUGUGAAAAGUCAAAUACUACUUGUAAUAAAAACCGGAGAGAGAGUAUGUUUUAUUUAAUGCAGGUGGAAAUUGGCCAAAUUAAUUGGGUUAGACUAACAUGAAAUGUUGCUUUCGUACACUUUCAACUGUUGAUAGGUUAAUGUCAAUAGCCCAUCGUUGAAUCUGAGGCAAUUAAAACAUGAAACAUAAAAAGACAAAAAGAAGAUAUAAAUGAAUAGUAAUAAAUGUCAAAAUAUUGGCAUUUAAUUCAGUCUUAGAUAGAGAAGUGCAUAUAUGUUCUAGAUAUUUUUUCUGAUCUGUCAUAUUUGAGACUUUUAUAUCCAAGGAUGCACCCAUUCAGUGCUUGAACCAUUCAUAGUAAAAAUUUGACUUUUUUUAUUGAAUAAAAAGAAAUUAUUAUUUAGAAAAAAGUUCGAUCCCCAAUCUUAAAUUUUUUUAAAGAAGCUACCCUUAUUUAUUUAGAGAAUUUUUCAAUUUCCUUUUUCGAGUCAAAAUUCUUCUCAAUAUGAUUUAUUAAUUUUGUUGGUGUUUGAAUUUUUGUGACCUCUCACUUUUCAUAAUGACAUCGACAUUGACGAUCGGAAUGAAAAAAUAUUUUUUAAUGAUAUAUCAUUGAUGAUUAAAAUAAUUUAUUAAUUAAUAUUUUUUAAAAAAUAAAUUAAUUAUUAAUUAUUUUAUUUAAUAUUUUUAAAAAUUAAUUAUUAAAUUUUUUGAAAAUAAUUACUAAAUUUGAACUCAAUUCAUAAUUGCAUCCAUUUCAUUUGUAUAAAACAAGAUGAUAUGCAUUGUGAUGAACUGAGCCACCACAAUAAGGACAUUACACCAUGUUUUUCAUUGUACCAUGAGUUAAAUUGACCAAGUGGUUUUACCUUCAUGUGAAACUAAAUGAUCAAAUACGCUUUGGCCUUCAUAUGAAAAUGAUGUAUCUCCAAAGGAAUUUUAGUAAUGUUUUAAUUUACUGGUAUAUAUGUUAGUAGCAUUUUUUGGGUCUCGCUUUCUAGGCGGUUAUAUUUCUAAAUUAUUAUAGGUAUAGCAUAGUUACAAAAUUGGUGCAUAUUUUCAUAAGUGUCUUAAAUUUGAAUUUUACCAGAUUGAUAACCAGUAUAAUGGUAAGAAGAGGUAGUUUCAUUGGAAGAAGAUGCAUCUGAUGAAGGAGAUGGACCAUACUUCACUGUUGUAGGAGUUGGAUUGUCUGUAAUCCAAGAUAGUCCCUACUUGCAUUGAGUGAAGCAAUUAAGAAGGUAUCAUGUUAGAAAUGUCUCAUUCUUGAUGGUUUUCUAAGAACCGUGGUCCAAGCACAGAAGGUAAUGCACGAUGAAAAAGAAGUGAAGUCUUUUUACUGUGUAUAAAAUUGAUGAUUGAUUAGAAGAAGAAGAAAAAAUGUAGAGAGAGAAAGUAAGAGAGAUUGUAUUAUGAAGAAG